rnacentral:rRNA from 1 species
UACGUAGGCAGCGAGCGUUGUUCGGAAUUACUGGGCGUAAAGAGUGUGUAGGCGGUGCUCUAAGUUCGGUGUGAAAUCUCCCGGCUUAACUGGGAGGGUGCGCCGGAAACUGGAGUGCUCGAGCGUGGGAGAGGAAAGCGGAAUUCCUGGUGUAGCGGUGAAAUGCGUAGAUAUCAGGAGGAACACCUGCGGUGUAGACGGCUUCUGGACCAUUGCUGACGCUGAGACACGAAAGCGUGGGUAGCAAACAGG